GAUGAACGCUGGCGGCAUGCCUAAUACAUGCAAGUCGAACGAGAGGAAGGAAAGCUUGCUUUCCUGAAUCUAGUGGCGAACGGGUGAGUAACACGUAGGUAACCUGCCCAUGUGCCCGGGAUAACUUCUGGAAACGGAUGCUAAAACCGGAUAGGUAGCAGACAAGCAUUUGACUGCUAUUAAAGUGGCCUUGGCCAUGAACAUGGAUGGACCUGCGGUGCAUUAGCUAGUUGGUGAGGUAACGGCCCACCAAGGCGACGAUGCAUAGCCGGCCUGAGAGGGCGGACGGCCACAUUGGGACUGAGACACGGCCCAAACUCCUACGGGAGUCAGCAGUAGGGAAUUUUCGUCAAUGGGGGGAACCCUGAACGAGCAAUGCCGCGUGAGUGAGGAAGGUCUUCGGAUCGUAAAGCUCUGUUGUAAGAGAAAAACGGCACUCAUAGGGAAUGAUGAGUGAGUGAUGGUAUCUUACCAGAAAGUCACGGCUAACUACGUGCCAGCCGCCGCCGUAAGAC
rnacentral:rRNA from 1 species